rnacentral:lncRNA from 1 species
CGCUAACUAUUCGACCACUUUUUCCUUCCCUUUAUCGGAUUUAUUUCCCCUUUGCUCUUGAGCUUAAUUAAACAAAUAAAUUGAUUUCAUCAUUUAGGCAUCAAAAAGAUGAACACAAGGCACUUAGCCCAUAUUUAUACAUUAGACAUUAAAGUCUCAUACAUGCAAAAAUCAUGCAUCAACACAACAUAUUAGCUAAUUUCUUUCCCCUUGGCCGAAUAUGCAUGCCUAUUUUUGGGGUCUAUUUCAACACUUAAUACACACAUAUACACACUAGUAAAGCAUCCUCCCCCUUUUCAUCAAUUUAACACAUGCAUUGCUCAUUAACAUGCAAAGUUACAUUCGGCCUUAGCACACAUCUUGCUAGCCGAUUCUUCUCCAUUUAGCAAUCAAUGCACAUAUGUGCUCACACAAAAAUGCUAAAAAGGAGGUUCAAAAAUCAUCAAGCCAUCAUCACAUGCAUCAUUAACAAGCUUCAUAUUUUGCAUGCAAUGGCAUUAACACGACCUCCACCUAGGCCGAAUCUUAACUCAUCCUCAUGCCUCAUCACCACAACAUCAAACAUCAACCAAGAAUGAUGCAUCCAUGGUCAAGUGCCAUUUCCAUCACAUAGCAAGAUUUAGACCAUGGGCUAGGUAGAACUCAAUCUAACAACUAAAACAUGCAUGCAUCUCAUGGAACAUCAUCAAACAUACCUUAGCCUAGUUACAUGCAUGGCCGAAUCUCUUCACCUUUCUUCUUCUUUCCUCCUUAAAAUUUUGGCCAAGGAUGAACCAAAGGAUGAGAAAAUUUCUCUUUGUUUUUCUUUCUAGUUUCGGCAAGCAUGAAGAUGAGAAAAGGAUGAACAAAAAUCCUCUCCUUUCUUUUC